AAAUUGAAGAGUUUGAUCAUGGCUCAGAUUGAACGCUGGCGGCAGGCCUAACACAUGCAAGUCGAGCGGUAGCACAGAGAGCUUGCUCUCGGGUGACGAGCGGCGGACGGGUGAGUAAUGUCUGGGAAACUGCCUGAUGGAGGGGGAUAACUACUGGAAACGGUAGCUAAUACCGCAUAACGUCGCAAGACCAAAGUGGGGGACCUUCGGGCCUCAUGCCAUCAGAUGUGCCCAGAUGGGAUUAGCUAGUAGGUGGGGUAACGGCUCACCUAGGCGACGAUCCCUAGCUGGUCUGAGAGGAUGACCAGCCACACUGGAACUGAGACACGGUCCAGACUCCUACGGGAGGCAGCAGUGGGGAAUAUUGCACAAUGGGCGCAAGCCUGAUGCAGCCAUGCCGCGUGUGUGAAGAAGGCCUUCGGGUUGUAAAGCACUUUCAGCGGGGAGGAAGGCGUUAAGGUUAAUAACCUUGUCGAUUGACGUUACCCGCAGAAGAAGCACCGGCUAACUCCGUGCCAGCAGCCGCGGUAAUACGGAGGGUGCAAGCGUUAAUCGGAAUUACUGGGCGUAAAGCGCACGCAGGCGGUCUGUCAAGUCGGAUGUGAAAUCCCCGGGCUCAACCUGGGAACUGCAUUCGAAACUGGCAGGCUAGAGUCUUGUAGAGGGGGGUAGAAUUCCAGGUGUAGCGGUGAAAUGCGUAGAGAUCUGGAGGAAUACCGGUGGCGAAGGCGGCCCCCUGGACAAAGACUGACGCUCAGGUGCGAAAGCGUGGGGAGCAAACAGGAUUAGAUACCCUGGUAGUCCACGCCGUAAACGAUGUCGAUUUGGAGGUUGUGCCCUUGAGGCGUGGCUUCCGGAGCUAACGCGUUAAAUCGACCGCCUGGGGAGUACGGCCGCAAGGUUAAAACUCAAAUGAAUUGACGGGGGCCCGCACAAGCGGUGGAGCAUGUGGUUUAAUUCGAUGCAACGCGAAGAACCUUACCUGGUCUUGACAUCCACAGAACUUUCCAGAGAUGGAUUGGUGCCUUCGGGAACUGUGAGACAGGUGCUGCAUGGCUGUCGUCAGCUCGUGUUGUGAAAUGUUGGGUUAAGUCCCGCAACGAGCGCAACCCUUAUCCUUUGUUGCCAGCGGUUAGGCCGGGAACUCAAAGGAGACUGCCAGUGAUAAACUGGAGGAAGGUGGGGAUGACGUCAAGUCAUCAUGGCCCUUACGACCAGGGCUACACACGUGCUACAAUGGCAUAUACAAAGAGAAGCGACCUCGCGAGAGCAAGCGGACCUCAUAAAGUAUGUCGUAGUCCGGAUUGGAGUCUGCAACUCGACUCCAUGAAGUCGGAAUCGCUAGUAAUCGUAGAUCAGAAUGCUACGGUGAAUACGUUCCCGGGCCUUGUACACACCGCCCGUCACACCAUGGGAGUGGGUUGCAAAAGAAGUAGGUAGCUUAACCUUCGGGAGGGCGCUUACCACUUUGUGAUUCAUGACUGGGGUGAAGUCGUAACAAGGUAACCGUAGGGGAACCUGCGGUUGGAUCACCUCCUUACCUUAAAGAA
rnacentral:rRNA from 1 species